AAUCAGGGCAGCAAAUAAAAAUGAUUGCGAUAAAUUUGAAGUUUAUAGAUGAAGGCUUAUUUUCCUGAUUG
rnacentral:tRNA from 1 species